GACGAACGCUGGCGGCGUGCUUAACACAUGCAAGUCGAGCGGAGCGGCGAACGGGUGAGUAACGCGUGAGUAACUGCCCCCCUCUCUGGGAUAACGGUUGGUAACGGCUGCUAAUACCGGAUAGUGGGGGAUGACUCGCGUACAAUCGGCUAGUUGGUGGGGUAGUGGCCUACCAAGGCGACGACGGGUAGCCGGCCUGAGAGGGCGACCAGCCACAUUGGGCUGAGAGACGGGCCAAACUGCUACGGGACGCAGCAGGGCGGAAUAUUGCACAAUGGGGGAGAGCAUGAUGCAGCAACGCGCGUGCGUGAUGUCGGCCUUCUGGGUGGAAACCGCUUUCAGCCAUGACGCGGUAGUGGCAGAAGAAGCACCGGCUAACUACGUGCCAGCAGCCGCGGUAAUAC
rnacentral:rRNA from 1 species